GACGGAGGGUGCUAGCGUUGUUCGGAAUUACUGGGCGUAAAGGGCGCGUAGGCGGCCGUUUGCGUCGGAUGUGAAAGCCCGGGGCUCAACCCCGGAACGGCAUCCGAUACGGGACGGCUGGAGACCGGGAGAGGAGGGUGGAAUAGCCAGUGUAGAGGUGAAAUUCGUAGAUAUUGGCUGGAACACCGGUGGCGAAAGCGGCUCUCUGGCCCGGUUCUGACGCUGAGGCGCGAAAGCGUGGGGAGCAAACAGGG
rnacentral:rRNA from 1 species